UACGAAGGGGGCUAGCGUUGCUCGGAAUCACUGGGCGUAAAGGGCGCGUAGGUGGCCUUCUUAGUCAGACGUGAAAUCCCCAGGCUUAACCUGGGAACUGCGUCUGAUACUGGAAGGCUCGAGUUCGGGAGAGGAAUGUGGAAUUCCAGGUGUAGCGGUGAAAUGCGUAGAUAUCUGGAGGAACACCGGUGGCGAAGGCGGCAUUCUGGACCGAAACUGACGCUGAGGCGCGAAAGCCAGGGGAGCAAACGGG
rnacentral:rRNA from 1 species